UGCAGGAAGCGUGUAGGAAGUGUGGCGCCUCAGCCCACAAUCGUAAUCACCUUUAAUCUCUUGCUCAAAAUAACCCAAAGUCAAGGUUCCUUCACCUUCACCCUGACUCCACGUGUUCCAGGCCAGGCUCGGUCCUCACAGCCUCCUCUCCCCAGCACUCCCAGGGUGUCUUGCCCUGUGCUCUUGUCUCCGUGCAGCUGACCCCCAGUCUAUCUCAAGGCCCUCAGCUGCCCCCAACUUGAAGAUUCUCUCCCAUCGUGUCUAAGUGGCUGCUCCAAGAUCUUGUCCCUGCUGGCAUCUCCCUGCUCACCAUCCACCGCAUUCCUCCACUUAAAGUUGAUGCUGGAUCCUGGACUCCUCUCUUUCCUCCCCCCACACCUGGUCCAACUCCAGUUGCAUCUAAUCCACCUGCAGAAGCAUCCGGAAUCUCUCCACUCCCACCACGACCGCCCUGGUCCAAACUGCCCAAAUCCACUUCCGGCAGGGAUGAUGCCCUUGGCUCCACCUCAUCUCCUGGCACCCAAAAUCCACUCUCCCUCCACAGCCAGAGGGAGCCUUGCUAACUACCAAGGCAGUCCCGAGGCCCCACCCUCUGCGCAGCCCUGAGGGCAUCCAGUCCUCCGCGCAUGGCGGAGAAUCCAGCCUCCACACAUGAUCUCCAGGGCCUACCGGAUCAGCCUCCGCGCCUCCUCGCUCCCCGUCCCCGAUGCACACCCCCUUCCUGGCAGAAGACCCUGCACCAGCCACCCCUCCACCUGGGAAGCUCCGGCUCCCUCCUGUCGUUCAGUCCAAGAUGCAGCAGCAUCACCCCAAGAGCCCUCCCUGCUCUGUACCCCGAAUUCACUCUCAGCCCCCACCUAGUUUAAAUCCUGGCACUUCUCUCUCCCUGAUGUUGUGCUUGGUUAUUUACUUUUAAUUCAUGUUGCAGCUGCUCCUGCCACUGCAAGAGCAGGAGCUGUGUGUCCUGGUCACUGCUGUGGCAUCCCAGGGCCGGCGCGGUGCCCGGCAGCCAGCACUGGACAGACUCAGGCCACGUUGCACACGGACUGGGAUGCGCCAGCUCUGCUUCCUCUUCCGUC